GGCCGGCUGGCGCAAUGGUAGCGCAUCAGACUUCUAUACCGUCGUCGACGUGUGGUCAUCUGGGGGUUGUGGGUUCGAGCCCCACGUUGGUCA